rnacentral:rRNA from 1 species
GACGUACCGUGCGAACGUUGUUCGGAAUCACUGGGCUUAAAGGGCGCGUAGGCGGCCGGGUUGGUCGUGGGUGAAAUCCCCCAGCUUAACUGGGGAACUGCCUACGAUACUGCCUGGCUCGAGGGAGGAAGGGGCGGUCGGAACUGUCGGUGGAGCGGUGAAAUGCGUUGAUAUCGACAGGAACGCCGGUGGCGAAAGCGGACCGCUGGCCCUCUUCUGACGCUGAGGCGCGAAAGCCAGGGGAGCGAACGGG